AUGCGGACUCACCGUGGGGCCCCCUCCUCUGGCUCUUUCCCAACAGCACCGACCCCCAAGGAUCCACGAUUCAACGCAGUACUUCCCUGUCAGCCCAGCCUCAGCUGUGAAUUCCCUUGGAGCUGUCAAAGAGCCGAGCAUCUGAGCUGCCUGUCAGCCAGCCGGUCAGCCUGGUCUGCAAGCGCAGCAGCUGUCCCGCCUGCCCCACACCCACCCACCUGCCCAUCACUCGCAGAAGAGGGGAGUCCAGGGCUUUCCUCCUGCCACAAGCCUCGCUUGUCUCAGGGAGGGGUCCUCAGCUCCUGUUUCAAAGCACUUGUCCUUCAGAGCCUGCAGUGACGCCCACCAUGUUUGGUGUGUGUGGCCCCAGCACACGGGCUGUGCGCUGCACUACAACUUGCACGUGUGAGUGUUGGUGGGAUUGAGUCCGUACGUCUUAGGGUCUGAUACACCACACGUCACGGGGCCGAGCCACAGUGCAGGUCUGUGCUGCACAGGUGCGUGGUCUCUGCUGUAUGAGGUGGGCAUGCUGUGGGGAGCAUGCACAUGUUCACACCCCCAUGUGGUCUUGGUGAGUCCACAGCACAUGACUUAGAGAAGACCACGUCUUAUCUUUCCAUCCAGGUGUACCGGGGAUCAAACUCAAGACCUUGUGCUUGUGAGGCAGGCAGCAGAACCACUGAGCUAAGUCCCCAGCCCUUCCAUCCAGUAUUCAACAGAGACAGGCCUGGAAGGAUCAGCAGGAACUAGGGAAUGUUGCUGCAGGGCAAGAGCAAACUUCACACCUGCAGGAACACCGUGUAACCCUGGCACUUCCCAUCUCGGUCCCCUAUGCAAUGUGCUGGUAGCCAGCUGGCCCACGACCCAGAGCCCACCGUGGCCUCACAGCCAUGCCGUCCCACAGGGCAGGGACGAGAAAGCAAAUGGUUCCAGCAAGGGCUCUAGACUAGGGGUGGCGAACCUACAGCACGCCCGGUGCAGGGGGCUGUGUCACUGAAAGCUCUAACCGGCUUGCCAUCAUUGCUCUCUGCACUUCAUCAUCUAAGGCCCAGGGAAGCCUGGAAGUGCUUGGAGCUGUGGAGUUACUGUGAAUGUAAAGACCACGGUGCGAUGAAAGAGCAAAGUCAGAGCAGCCAGGUAGGUCAGGAGGUGCUGCCAUUGCCCAAGCAGGGGCUGUCCGAGGGCUGGACGGUAAUGAGAAGGAGUGAGGAGAUGUGAAGGGUAUUUCAGGAGUCACCAGCACGGUCAGCAACAGGCCCUUGUCGGUGGUAUCACCUCAGGACUUGGGGCUGCUGGGAGCUGACUGAAAACACUGGUUUUUGGCUUGAGCAGCUAGCUGGUGGAUGCUGCCAUUUCCUGAGCAGGGGGAGAGGUUGGUCUGGAGUUUGGGGUGGCAGUGGGUCUCCCAUGUGUACACGUUCCAAGGGCAUGCAGGAAGAGGAACAAGGUCAGAGGAGCUGGGAACAGCACAUCUGGCAACCCACGGCUCUUUGGGGCCAGGAGGGCUUGGGACCAGCACAUCUCAGAGGGAAAGCGGGGCUUGGAAGGCAGGGCUGAGGAAGUGGGCCUGGGCCUGAGUCUUCCUUCCUCUGGGGUCCCUGAGGAGCCACUCCCUCUCAGCACAGUUCCCAGAGUGGGUCAAGUGUUUGGGGGAGAGCUCCAGCCAGCUCUGUAGGAAGCGGCCUAAUCUGCCCUAAAUAAUGCUGAAUUCUUUCCAUGGGAUUAUCAAGAGAUAACUGAGUCAUGCUGGAGCCUGAGAACAAGGGGGCUCCACAGAGGAGCCAUUUGCCAGAAAAGUGCCAACCACAGCAACUGGCCCGGCCCCGAGUCAGGCGCUCCAGGGACAGACAUGUGCAGCACAUCCUUCACUGGACCAGAGUCAGGCCAUCGGAGGCAGCCAGUGGGGCAGCCUCAUUACUGUGGUGGCCUGAGUGAAAGAUAAUGAUCUGUCCAGCUCUAGCUGGCCUCUGGAUGUGUGGUUCCAGCAGCAGCGUCAAUUACUGAGCUGGCCUGUGGCUGUCAGACUUGUCAUGGCGAUUGUCUGUGACACCCUGAAGAACCACAAAAGUAAAUCCUUCUUAGCGGGUGCUUUUUCUUUGAAGUGCCCCCUCCUCCCUCUGCCCUGCAGGCUGCUCUGUCCUGAGAGCAGCACUCCAGACCCCCUUGGGGACCCUGAGGCUCCUGCAGGCUGAAAAGGAUGGCUCAGGGGCUCAGGGGUGGAUGCUGUGACCCUUGGCAGAGUUCCUCAGAUGACCACGCAUGGUGGUCAGUGCAGCCCCUCUUCAGAGGGGUCCUCGAGUCUAGAUAGCACCCCUGCCCUCUCAGUCCUGAUUCAAGCAUGGUGAAUGGGCAGCUGAGCUCCUUUCAGUCUCCAGUGUACUCUCCAGCAUUUGGAGAGCACUGAGAGGCAAUGCAUUUC
ensembl:lincRNA